rnacentral:rRNA from 1 species
UUCCGGUUGAUCCUGCCGGACCUGACUGCUAUCGGAUUGAUACUAAGCCAUGCGAGUCAUUGUAGCAAUACAAGGCAUACGGCUCAGUAACGCGUAGUCAACCUGCCCUAUGGACGGGAAUAAUCUCGGGAAACUGAGAAUAAUGCCCGAUAGAACAUUAUGCCUGGAAUGGUUUAUGUUCCAAAUGAUUUAUCGCCGUAGGAUGGGACUGGGCCUAUCAGUUUGUUGGUGAGGUAAUGGCCCACCAAGACUAUUACAGGUACGGGCUCUGAGAGGAGUAGCCCGGAGAUGGGUACUGAGACACGGACCCAGGCCCUAUGGGGCGCAGCAGGCGAGAAAACUUUGCAAUGUGCGAAAGCACGACAAGGUUAAUCCGAGUGGUUUGUGCUAAACGAACCUUUUGUCAGUCCUAGAAACACUAMCGAAUAAGGGGUGGGCAAGUUCUGGUGUCAGCCGCCGCGGUAAAACCAGCACCUCAAGUGGUCAGGAUGAUUAUUGGGCCUAAAGCAUCCGUAGCCGGUUCUGUAAGUUUUCGGUUAAAUCUGUACGCUCAACGUACAGGCUGCCGGGAAUACUGUAGAACUAGGGAGUGGGAGAGGUAGACGGUACUCGAUAGGAAGGGGUAAAAUCCUUUGAUCUAUUGAUGACCACCUGUGGCGAAGGCGGUCUACCAGAACACGUCCGACGGUGAGGGAUGAAAGCUGGGGGAGCAAACCGGAUUAGAUACCCGGGUAGUCCCAGCUGUAAACUAUGCAAACUCAGUGAUGCAUUGGCUUGUGGCCAAUGCAGUGCUGCAGGGAAGCCGUUAAGUUUGCCGCCUGGGAAGUACGUACGCAAGUAUGAAACUUAAAGGAAUUGGCGGG